rnacentral:rRNA from 1 species
GUAUGAGUAAAGUGGCGCACGGGUGACUAACGCGUGGAUAAUCUACCGGGAAGUUCGGAAUAACAGCUGGAAACGGUUGCUAAUACCGGAUACACUACAUAUAAACGUAUGUGGGAAAGACGGCCUCUUCAUAUGCUGUUGCUUUCCGAUGAGUCCGCGUACCAUUAGCUAGUUGGUGGGGUAAAGGCCUACCAAGGCGACGAUGGUUAACUGGUCUGAGAGGAUGAUCAGUCACACUGGAACUGGAACACGGUCCAGACUCCUACGGGAGGCAGCAGUGGGGAAUAUUGCGCAAUGGGCGAAAGCCUGACGCAGCGACGCCGCGUGAGGGAUGAAGGUCUUCGGAUCGUAAACCUCUGUCAGCAGGGAAGAACGGUCACUGUGCUAAUCAGCAGUGAAUUGACGGUACCUGCAAAGGAAGCACCGGCUAACUCCGUGCCAGCAGCCGCGGUAAUACGGAGGGUGCGAGCGUUAAUCGGAAUUACUGGGCGUAAAGCGCUCGUAGGCGGUAUGCCAAGUCAAGGGUGAAAUCCCCGCGCUCAACGUGGGAACUGCCUUUGAAACUGGCAAACUGGAGUGUGUGAGAGGAUAGUGGAAUUCCAGGUGUAGGAGUGAAAUCCGUAGAUAUCUGGAGGAACAUCAGUGGCGAAGGCGACUAUCUGGCACAUAACUGACGCUGAGGAGCGAAAGCGUGGGUAGCAAACAGGAUUAGAUACCCUGGUAGUCCACGCUGUAAACGAUGGAUACUAGGUGUGGGGGGACUGACCCCCUCCGUGCCGCAGUUAACACAAUAAGUAUCUCACCUGGG